UUUGGAGAGGGCUAGUGUUAUUCGCAUUGACUGGGUGUAAAGGGUGCGUAGGUGGUUUAUUAAGUUUCUAGGCAAAUACUAAAUUUAGAGUUUAGAGACCUAUUAAUACUAAUAGACUAGAGUUUAUUAGAAGAUGGCUGAACAUUAAGUGUAAAGGUGAAAUUUUUCGAUAUUUAAAGGACAUGCACUAGGCGAAGGCUGCUAUCUAUUUUAAUACUGACACUGAGGCACAAAAGCAUAGGGAUCAAACAGGAUUAGAGACCCUGGUAGUCUAUGCCCUGACCGAUGAAUAUUGAUUAUAUUUUUAAAAAAUAUAAUUAAGCUAACGCGUAAAUAUUCCACCUGAGUACUACGACCGCAAGGUUAAAACUCAAAGAAACUGACGGAAGAUUGUAUAAGCGGUGGAGUAUGUGGUUUAAUUUGAUAUAACGCAAAGAAUCUUACCAACCCUUGAAUAUAAGUUGUACUUUAUUAAUAAAUUGAAUUUUUCGAUUUAUUAAUCAGUAUCUCUUGCUAGUAAAUUUUAUUUGCAAGUAGACUUAUACAGGUGCUGCAUGGUUGUCGGCAGUCCGUGUUGUGAAAUGUUUUGUUAAUUCAUUUAACGGACGUAACCUUCGGUUAUAUUUGCAUAAAAAUAUAGCAACAUUAAUUCGAAAAUUAAUUGAAAGGAGAAGAAGUCAAAUCAUUAUGGCCUAUAUAGGUUGGGCUACACACGUACUACAAUGGUAAUUUCAAUGUGAAGCAAUGAUGUAAGUCGGAGCUAAUCAUUAAAAAUUAAUCUUAGUUCAGAUUAUUCUCUGCAAGUCGAGAAUAUGAAGUAGGAAUCGCUAGUAAUCGCAGAAAAGAAUGCUGCGGUGAAUUCAUAAAGGGAAUCUU
rnacentral:rRNA from 1 species